rnacentral:rRNA from 1 species
CUUGACACUGAACAUUGAGCCUUGAUGUGUAGGAUAGGUGGGAGGCUUAGAAGUGUGGACGCCAGUCUGCAUGGAGCCGACCUUGAAAUACCACCCUUUAAUGUUUGAUGUUCUAACGUUGACCCGUGAUCCGGGUUGCGGACAGUGUCUGGUGGGUAGUUUGACUGGGGCGGUCUCCUCCUAAAGAGUAACGGAGGAGCACGAAGGUUGGCUAAUCCUGGUCGGACAUCAGGAGGUUAGUGCAAUG